rnacentral:rRNA from 1 species
AAGAAUGCCGGUAUGAGUAGCGAAAGAGGGGUGAGAAUCCCCUCCACCGAAUGCCUAAGGUUUCCUGAGGAAGGCUCGUCCGCUCAGGGUUAGUCGGGACCUAAGCCGAGGCCGAAAGGCGUAGGCGAUGGACAACAGGUUGAUAUUCCUGUACCACCUCCUCACCAUUUGAGCAAUGGGGGGACGCAGGAGGAUAGGGUAAGCGCGGUAUUGGAUAUCCGCGUCCAAGCAGUUAGGCUGGGAAAUAGGCAAAUCCGUUUCCCAUAAGGCUGAGCUGUGAUGGCGAGCGAAAUAUAGUAGCGAAGUUCCUGAUUCCACACUGCCAAGAAAAGCCUCUAGCGAGGUGAGAGGUGCCCGUACCGCAAACCGACACAGGUAGGCGAGGAGAGAAUCCUAAGGUGAUCGAGAGAACUCUCGUUAAGGAACUCGGCAAAAUGACCCCGUAACUUCGGGAGAAGGGGUGCUCUGUUAGGGUGCAAGCCCGAGAGAGCCGCGGUGAAUAGGCCCAGGCGACUGUUUAGCAAAAACACAGGUCUCUGCGAAGCCGUAAGGCGAAGUAUAGGGGCUGACGCCUGCCCGGUGCUGGAAGGUUAAGAGGAGCGCUUAGCGUAAGCGAAGGUGCGAAUUGAAGCCCCAGUAAACGGCGGCCGUAACAAUAACGGUCCUAAGGUAGCGAAAUUCCUUGUCGGGUAAGUUCCGACCCGCACGAAAGGCGCAACGAUCUGGGCACUGUCUCAACGAGAGACUCGGUGAAAUUAUAGUACCUGUGAAGAUGCAGGUUACCCGCGACAGGACGGAAAGACCCCGUGGAGCUUUACUGCAGCCUGAUAUUGAAUGUUGGUACAGCUUGUACAGGAUAGGUAGGAGCCUUGGAAACCGGAGCGCCAGCUUCGGUGGAGGCAUCGGUGGGAUACUACCCUGGCUGUAUUGACCUUCUAACCCGCCGCCCUUAUCGGGCGGGGAGACAGUGUCAGGUGGGCAGUUUGACUGGGGCGGUCGCCUCCUAAAAGGUAACGGAGGCGCCCAAAGGUUCCCUCAGAAUGGUUGGAAAUCAUUCGCAGAGUGUAAAGGCACAAGGGAGCUUGACUGCGAGACCUACAAGUCGAGCAGGGACGAAAGUCGGGCUUAGUGAUCCGGUGGUUCCGCAUGGAAGGGCCAUCGCUCAACGGAUAAAAGCUACCCCGGGGAUAACAGGCUUAUCUCCCCCAAGAGUCCACAUCGACGGGGAGGUUUGGCACCUCGAUGUCGGCUCAUCGCAUCCUGGGGCUGUAGUCGGUCCCAAGGGUUGGGCUGUUCGCCCAUUAAAGCGGUACGCGAGCUGGGUUCAGAACGUCGUGAGACAGUUCGGUCCCUAUCCGUCGCGGGCGCAGGAAAUUUGAGAGGAGCUGUCCUUAGUACGAGAGGACCGGGAUGGACGCACCGCUGGUGUACCAGUUGUUCUGCCAAGGGCAUCGCUGGGUAGCUAUGUGCGGACGGGAUAAGUGCUGAAAGCAUCUAAGCAUGAAGCCCCCCUCAAGAUGAGAUUUCCCAUUCCGCAAGGAAGUAAGAUCCCUGAAAGAUGAUCAGGUUGAUAGGUCUGAGGUGGAAGUGUGGCGACACAUGGAGCUGACAGAUACUAAUCGAUCGAGGGCUUAAUC